CUGACAAUGUACAGGUCCCCAUUGUUAAUGAAAGUUCACAAGUCAUGGUUUGCGGCUCUUCUGAUGUGAUUUUGAGGCAGAAUGACAGUGCCAAUCGAAUAGAAAUAACCAUGUCCUCAAAUCACCAACAGGAUGGGAGCAUGCAGCUCGCACACACAGGGAACUGUGUGACUUUAGAGGGGCUAGAAUCAGAUCAGCCAAAUCUUUCUGACUGUACGGUCCAACAUGUACAAGAGUCCAUUCCAGCUGAUCAUAAACUCUCACAGAUUCAGAUAUGCCUGAAUGAUACUCCAGAUAUCGUGAAUGUGGAAGAGAGGCAAGAAGUGAGUGCAGAGGCUCUCGAUGCUGUUGAGGUGAAAGAUUUGAUCGAUGUAGGUGUUUUAAUGCAGCCAGAUAUGGAGGAUACCUGGCUGGUUGUAAGUGAGAUAGAUGGGCAGUCUGAGCAUGCAGAGAUGGAGGUCAGCGAGGAGUCUCUUGUGCAGUGCCCUGAAUCCCAGUCAACUGUUGCUGUAUAUGAAUGCACUGUGCCCUGCUUUACAUCAACUGCCCUUCACAGUGAUGUUAAGCUGCUGGUAACUGACAAAGAAGAGGAGGAACCAAUAGAAACAUUGACGCAAGACUCACAAGCCCAGAGUAAUCUAGGGAAUCAGACCUCAUCUCGUCCUGAUGCACUCAAACCCACCGAAGAGUUACUUACCAUGGCCUCUAUGCAAAAAGAAGAAUCUAUAAUUGUCAAGCAAAAUGAUGAUUCAACUCGCACUGAUCUUGCAAACACGCUGACAGGUUUAACAUCCACGGUGAUGAACGUCACACUUGAGUCUGUGCGAGAGCAGCAAGAAUCUGUUAUGGUGGAAAACACACCAGGUGUGUCAUUAAUUUCAUUGUCUUCUGGGACGAUUGAUCCAAAGCUACUGAUCCUAAAGAAGGGUGACAGCCCUGCCCUUAAGCAACCUUCUUCAGUGUCUGCUAGGAUCUCAACCAAGCAGAACUUACCUGUCCUGGCUGGAUCACCCAGUGAUGGAUUAAAUAAAGCUGCAGAGUGCCUUGCUAAAACUGAAUCAGCUGCAUCCUCCAUCCAUCCUUCUAAUGUACUUUCACAGAACAGCUCUGUGAAAGAAAACUUAGAUAAAUCAAACAGUUCUGGCAAGUUGCUUCAAAAGGAAUCCUCUGCUAGUGCUUCUUCAUCAACUUCAGUUCAACUCCAUAACUCAAAAAGCCGCCUUCCUCCUCCUGCUGGAGAUGUGUGGGGUGCUGUAUCCAGUGUUGUCCCAGAUUCAAUGAUUUUGGGGGUUGAACUGGAGAUGGAGCAGCAGCAGUUACCAGAAGAACUUUUGUCAACAACGCAAGAUGCUCAGAACUCCAUCCUGGAGUCACUUGAUGCUUCUAUAGAGGAGAGCAGCGAUGCAGAGGUUGACAGCUCUAUGGAUGUCCAGAACGAGGACAGCAAUGCUACUCCCAGUCCAGCAGCGAACAAGGUAAAACCAACUAAAUUAUUAACUCGCCUAUUAUGACUUCAGCCAUGCUAAAGCAGUGAUUUCAUAUGUAAUUUGUUGUAAUCAGAGGUAGUUAGCAAAAGUGUAUUUAUAAUUUAGAUAUUUUUGAGCCUGUGUACCCUAUCCAUAAUAGUUUCAAAGCCAC
ensembl:lncRNA